AUUGAACGCUGGCGGCAUGCCUUACACAUGCAAGUCGAACGGUAACAGGUCUUCGGAUGCUGACGAGUGGCGAACGGGUGAGUAAUACAUCGGAACGUGCCUAGUAGUGGGGGAUAACUACUCGAAAGAGUGGCUAAUACCGCAUGAGAUCCACGGAUGAAAGCAGGGGAUCGCAAGACCUUGUGCUACUAGAGCGGCCGAUGGCAGAUUAGGUAGUUGGUGGGAUAAAAGCUUACCAAGCCGACGAUCUGUAGCUGGUCUGAGAGGACGAUCAGCCACACUGGGACUGAGCCACGGCCCAGACUCCUACGGGAGGCAGAAGUGGGGAAUUUUGGACAAUGGGCGCAAGCCUGAUCCAGCAAUGCCGCGUGCAGGAUGAAGGCCUUCGGGUUGUAAACUGCUUUUGUACGGAACGAAAAGCCCUGGGUUAAUACCCUGGGGUCAUGACGGUACCGUAAGAAUAAGCACCGGCUAACUACGUGCCAGCCGCCGCCGUAA
rnacentral:rRNA from 1 species